CUCAGGUGAAUUUUUCUUCCGAAGAGGCAAGGAGUGAAGUUGCUUCAGACCUGCCAGUAACUCGGGAUGCUUCCCUAGAAGUCAUCCAUGGAGCUCCUCAGACUAUCUUUUGUGAACUGGAACUCACCUUCUGUUUCAUUAUGUGGCAAGAAUGACAUCUAUAGAUUUCCGGGAAAUCUGUUUGUGGGAGAACUGUGAGGCUGAGUCUAUAACUGAGAUGUCAAUCAGAUGCAGUGGUGUAAAGGAGAAGCCAUAUGGCUCAUUGCUACUCUUCAUGUUGCAAGAAUGACAAAUUUGUAUAUUCAGUUGCCAUCAAUAUAAUUAUACGGUGUAGAGAAAAUAUAUUCUGGAAUACAUGCACUGAUUCUGGGCUCUUUUUUAAAACAACAAAACAAGAUUCGUGUGUACAUUCCUUUUUUUUUUUUUUUUUCUUGGUACCAAAGAGAAAACUGUAAGAAAGUAGAACAUGCUGCUAAGUUUAAAAAGCAUUGCCUUGGGAGUUAAAACAGAAUUGAGGUUAUCCCAUUUGUGUGCAAUGAUUUAAUAUGUAUAAUAUUUACAUUAGUGUUCUAUGUGCUUAAACUGAGAUUAGAAUAAUAGGUAUUCUAUAUAGUUUCACAAUUCGUUUAACAAAAAUAUUUCGGCACAGAUUUUAGCAUAUGUGUCCUAAAAAGUUACUUCAUAUUUUUUUCUUUUAUUAGAUUAUAUGUUUAAAAUGCCAUGGAGAUGCUAUUUAAAAGGACUAUACCAUAUAUCUAAGAACCAUUCUGCAGAGAAAAAUUGCCUUUCCUCUUGCUUGUCUUUACUAUUUUCCUUGCAUUGUCAAUGAUUGCUCAUUACUUUUCUUGCAUAGAGUAAGAAAAUGUAAUCAACCAAACUAGUAUUCAUUAUAAACUGUAAUGUUAGUUUUCAUAUGUGUGUGUUGAAUGUGUAUAUUCAUAUGUAUUGUAUAUAUGAUAUAUGAUACUUUAUACACAUAUUUUAUCUGUGUAUUCUCAUAACUACCCCCUGAAUAUUGUAAAAGUACAUGUCCAUAAAUAUUUACUGAGUGAUACACUUCUCAUAGGGAAAACCAAGGAAAAUUAACAUUAAAAACCUCGCGGGCCGGGCGCGGUGGCUCACGCCUGUAAUCCCAGCGCUUUGGGAGGCUGAGGCGAGCAGAUCAUGAGGUCAGGAGUUCAAAACCAGUCUGGCCAACAUAGUGAAACCCUGUCUCUACUAAAAAAUACAAAAAAUUAGCCGGGCAUGGUGGCGGGCACCUGUAAUCCCAGCUACUCGCGAGUAGAAUCGUUUAAACCUGGGAGGCGGAGGUUGCGGUGAGCUGAGAUCGCGCCAUUGCACUCCAGCCUGGGCGACAAGAAUGAAACUCUGUCUCAAAACAACAACUACAAAAACCUCAUAACAGUAUGGAGUGCAAAGGUUGCCUUUCUUCCAAUUACAAGAUAAAGUUCAAGUUUAAUGAGUUCCUUAAUAAUGAAGGAAAGUACUAAAUAGAAUAAGUCUAAAGGCAAUUUUACUUCUAGUAUUAAUGAAUCAUAUACACUCAAAUGACAGCCACAGUUUUUAAUGGUUCCGUAUGACUCCACCUUUCUUUAUCAACAUAAGGGAACUCUAUAGAGCUGAGUAAAAAGUGUUUAAUUGGAAUUUUCAACUUCAAUAUUGGGUUCACAUAACAGGUCCCAGAACAUGAUGAGCAGAGAACUUGAGAUGCUUUUGCUCCACUGCUUCUAAAUCUUGUUUAUAAAAGUUUAAUUUCAACGUAAUUAUAAUAAUUAAUCUGGUGAACAAUAAGUGUCCUGAGUCUAUGCAUUUCUCGAUAAUUCAAGAACAAUUCAAAAUGUCUUUGGUAUAUAGUAGUGACAAAGUGAAAAAUCAUUUAAUGAUCAAUCCAAUCGCCUAUCUCCUUUGGAGAAUGAUGAUUUAAAAAAUUGAAUUAUUUAAAUGUGAAAUCACAGUCAUAUGUUGGUUAUUGCUGAUAAGUAUAGUCAUUUCUUAAUUAUUUGG
rnacentral:lncRNA from 1 species